GGUGGUACAGCCCAGUGGUAGAGCACAUGCUUAGUAUGCACGAGGUCCUGAGUUCAACCCCCACGUACCUCCA
rnacentral:tRNA from 1 species